CAACUUUGGAAAAAUCGUGCUAAGUCCGUCACCUCAUUUGCCUCUUGUCCUCUACUGAGGAAGCCCCUCAUCUUUGCAUGGGCGUAACUUUUAGCUGUUCCUGUAACCUGCUGAUCACCUUCCCCAAUCUACCAAUUUGGUGUACCCCCAAUGUGGUGAACAUUUCUGCAGAAAUCCAUAUGAUUGUUACCAUUUGCAAACUUCUGCCCAGUCAGGCCUCUAUAUCACUCUCGAUGCCUCCUCCUCCUCCUCCUCCUCCUCUAGUUACUACAGUCAGUCCUCUUACGUCGCAGUAUUUUGGGUAUCGAGCAUCACGUCGUUGCUGCUGCUCCCGGAAGAAUUCCGGCUCUGUGUGCACUUCAUGAGUUGUGGUGCCAUCUGUACAGUUUCUCAUACCGUAGCACCUGCCUUUCCAGUAUUUUCUAUCCUUUAGCGUUAAGUUUAUCUAUCGUUUUAGUUGUAUGGUGUCACCAUUUAACCAUUCUGCUUUAGAAGGCCGUGGCUGUUCGACGUUAUGGUCCAUGGGCCGAUAAACCCUGUGGCCGCCCUACGAACCCUUGAGCCGAAAUCUGUCAAGGGACUGCUAGCACAGUAUGACGGCCUGCGAGCCGACAAACACUCUUACAGGUAGACAGAUCUGGUUACUUUAGCAUGGCUAUCGCUAACGCUGUGCUAACUAUACAUUUACGGACUGACUGAUGCAGCGUUUGCUCCUCUCUCAGUUUCAAACAGCGACUGCCUCCGUAUCGGCUGCGACAACUGCAACAACGGGUCUUUCGCCUAUGCUUUUUUUGCUACGUGCAGAUCGUCAGUGAUGGAGCGAGUGACGACGCUUCGCCGAGCACUCCCCUUCUCUUCAUGGCUACAACGGCAGGGGAAGCGGCACAGAGGCACUCACGAUGAAAACGAAGGCGAGAUUGAACGAGAUCAACGCAGCGGAAGCACGAACCGAAACGCCGAACGAACGAUGAAUGGCGACAGUGGCAGAAUCGCAGUCGCGCAUAGCUAGCGAUUGAACCCAUCGAAGUACUGCAGCGGUGGAAGCCGAUCCGAACAACGGCGGGCCGGUACCGGCCAAUAUUUUCUCCGUCGUUACACUUAGCGUUCUGCUUAGCGGCGACAAAACGUACACGGCAGCUCCAGCGAAAGCAGAGGCAAUUCGAGGGAGAGACGCGUCAGUUAUCGCGACGGUGACGGUGGCUGCUAGUGGUCCAGCCCAGCCAAGCCGAAUGACGAACCCUACGAACGAACAACGGCUGAUGACGCGAUGAUGAUGGAAGUGCAGCAAGCAAUGCAGAGCGAAUGCCGAACAGGAAAGAGGCGAUCAACCGGUUUUGUUGGCAGACGCACGGUCGUCGUCACUCUCCAAUGAUGGUGCCGCAGCAGUCGGCAAUGUUUUCAAUACUUCGUUCACAGGUCGCUUCUGCAGCAGAACGAUAGCACACAAAGGACGAGUGGAUAGAUCGAACUCCGGUGGUGAUGCCGGCUGCUGGCUACGGCCUGAAGCUGCGAUCUUCUGUGAUGAUGUUUUGUGUCUGUGUGGUAAUGAACUGCUCGCUGGCGCUGGUGACACGCGAAGCAACCAAAUCGGAUCGUGUAGAGUCGCGGAAUCAAACAGCAAGCUGAGGCUGGCUGACUCGGCAGUAGCAAUAAAAGCGUGUACGACGGAUAUACUGACUGGUGUUUUUCGAUGCUGUUGUCGGAAUCCAUACGAACUGUCUGGAUCUGCGUAGUGGUUGGUUGUUGAGGGGAAAGCGAAUUUCGGGGUAGAUGAGUGGAUGAAAAGAAGGUUCAGAGUCCGAAGUGAGAGCCUAGAAGCUGAAGAACGCACAAGAGAGGGGUGCCAGAGAUCAUGUAGAACGUGAGGGAUCGAGAAAUAGAAAUUCGCUUCGACUGCGCAAACCUGUAAUCAACCCGUAAUGAAGAAAUCGGCUGAAAGGCUGUGUUUGGUCUGAAGCAGGCAGGAGUGUGAACGAUCGUGUUAGUGAGUAUGUAGUUGAAUAAAUAACCUAUAAGCUUUCUUGGGUUUGUGAGUAGUGUUCGUGUUACGCGAAGUUUGCCAAAGAUGCUAUGGAGGGCUGGUGGUCGAUACAUGUCGCAUUGUGCAUUCUCGGCACAGCACUGAUUUACGGACCGUUACUGAAAGCCCCCCUUUUGUACGACGAUGUCGCAGCCGUCGAGAGAAAUCCGGAUGUAAACUUGCCCCUAACUUGGUCGCUGUUCGAGAAUGACUUUUGGGGCACUCCACUCAAGUCCAACUUCAGUCAUCAAAGUUACCGACCACUUACAGUGCUGACGUACCGACUAACCAACAAUGUGUUUUAUCAGCGGUUGUUCAACGCUAUACUUCAUGUUAUCAAUACGUUGUUGUUCACGACCCUGGUGCAGGAAAAAGCAGGAAACCGGGUAGCCAGAAUCGCGGGGGUACUGUUCUGUUUUCAUCCUGUACAAACGGAAGCUGUGAUACAAUUGGUAGGUCGAGCAGAACUUUUGUCCGCGUUUUUCUACCUGAUGUGUAUAUUCAGUUCAAGUUAUUCGAUUGCAUGUGUGUGCACGAGCCUCGCGAUGCUCUGCAAGGAGCAAGGGGUAACAGCCCUCGCAGUGAAAGCCUUACUGGAUAUUAUUUACUAUCAUGCCGGCCACAAAGAUAAAACCCUCUGGAAAAAGUUGCUGAUAUCCACCUCAGCCACAAUGGGUCUCCUUACGACCAGAUUCGCAAUCUCUGGCGGUACUCCGUCAUUUCAUGAGUUCGAUAACCCCGCCCGACAGCUGGCAUCGCCGCUCAGACAGAUCAACUUCGUCUAUUUGGCCCUAUUCAACGUCAAGCUGUUAUUAAACCCAUAUUGUCAAAGCUGCGACUACUCGUUUGAAUCGAUACCUCUCAUCGAGAGCUUUUUCGACAAACGAGUACUUUACGUGACGUUCUUUGCGGCGACCACGUUAACUGUGAUAGCUUCAUUAUUUAGGAGUCCCGUGGAAAAGGCCAUGAACGGAUCUGGUGGCGAUGAACUCAAAGUGCCGUCCUGUAAUAGUAAACGUACCAACAAUCCUAGCCAUCAACAUCAGUUCAAUAACAAUAACUAUAUUCCGUGCAAGAUUACCCAAGAAGUGACAGGAGCAGGUAUCUCAACACAAGCCGCGCUUCCGCUGACCGCCUUAACGAUGGCAUUCAUUCCCUGGCUGCCCGCGUCUAACCUUUUAUUCUACGUGGGCUUCGUCGUGGCCGAACGAGUUCUCUAUCUGCCCGCGAUGGGGACCUGCUUCCUAAUAGCAGUUGGCUAUGGCAAAAUAUGGGCUCUGUUGCCUGAACGCAGCAGCUCGCUGUUACGGAACGCCCUGGUGACCUUCAGCUGUGCGCUGUUAAUGAAGAGCGCGAUUCGCGGACAACAAUGGAGAAGCGGGGUGCAACUCUUUGGAGCGGCGGUACGCGACUAUCCAGGGAAUAUAAAGAUGUGGAAUAACUUGGGUAAGGCAUUCGAGAUAGAGGGGGAGUUCCAUCUCGCGCUCAGUUGUUUCGACCGUUCGUUGAAACAGCGCGACGAAAUUCGGGCGCACUGGUAUAAAGCUAGACUCCUUUCAAAACUGAAUAAAGAUGAUCUAGCCAGAAGCAUCUAUCGGGAAAAAUAUCCGCUUGUCGCAGUUCCAUUUGACGAUUUCGUGAAGAUACGCAAAGAGGACAUCUUGUUUGUCGUUGACUACAUUCGUCUCCUCAUAAAGAUGGACGCGCUUGAAGAGGCGAAGGCUGUGGUUGCUGAGAUGAUGACUUCGACGCCAAAUGUGGCCGAAUUUCAUAUUGUUGCUGGUGAAUUGUUCUACCAACUCGACAUGAAACCUAUGGCUGAGCGAAGCUAUCGCAAGGUUCUUGAGAUCGAUCCUAGGUUAGCGGACGCGUAUUACAACCUGGGCGUGUUACUUAUGGAACGCGGAGCUACUGAUGGAGCGGCCUCAAUGUUCCAGCAAUGUAUUGAGCUCAAUCCGACACAUGAGCCUUCACGCGUGAAUCUCGACGUAUUGAAGACUAACACGGAGGAUGACACCAUGAUGUCUCUCUACAAGGAUGCAAUGGACGCACUGAGGGAAGGUAGCUACACAGCAGCGGAAUCUUUACUGCAUCGUGUAUUAUCCCGACAGCCUCACCAUCCGUCUGCGCUGUACAAUCUUGCCCUAUUACAAACCCAGUUGGGGAAGUCGCCAACAUCAUCGAUAGCAUUUCUUGACCGACUGCUCGUUGAACGGCCGUCUCAUUCGAAGGCUUUGCUUCUCAAAGCUAGUAUCCUCCAUCGGCAACUAGGCGAUACCGAGUCAGCAAUAAAGGGCCAAAUGGAAAUGGUUUCACUUGAGCCUUAUGACCUGAAGGUUUCUGUUGAGGACAUUUGCAGCCGUGUAUCAGCUCUAUCUGUGAUUUCCUCAGGCAUUUUUCCUAGCUGGUUUUCGAAAUAAUGCCUGUACCGAAAUUGAAGCUUUGUCCAAUUUCAAGAUCCGACAGCGUUCUUUAACCUUGAAGCGCUUAAACUCUACUAGUCCCGUUCGAUCGGACUAAAUGGCACAUACGCUACAAAGUUCCUGUGAUAAUAACCCGCUAUAUAUUAUUCUUAACAAUAUUCUCCAGGGCAGUAUUCUCAACUCUGUUACUUGACCAUUGUUGAGGUAAGCAUUCGCAACGCAAAUGUUAUAGACAAGACGUCAAGAAGUUUGUUUAAGUUUUAAGCUGCGUCUCCACCGGAAUAAGGGCGACAUAUGACAUGACAAGGUACGCAGCCAAGGUACUGUGUCCAGCCGCAGUGAUUUGUCUAUGCCCACACCAUUAAGCAAGUGAAGUUCGUCCCCUGCAGGAUCGUUUCGUGGCCAGCAUGAAUCCACAGCUUGACCACGCUGCUAUCCUUCAUCGACUUUUUGUGCUUGCCCAUUUAUAUCAUUGAGGACGAUCACCUAUCUUAUGGCUAUUUCGCUCAAUGCACGCUCUUCACGAAGCUGGGCUGGCUUUCCUAAUCUUUACCAAAACUAGGCCGCCAUUCUGUAUUCCUUGAACAUUGCUUGAGUCAAAUUCGUUGUAGAUAGGUAGAGACAUUUAAGAAUAGAAAAAAAAAAAGGGCAGCUUUAUUUACCUAUUGCCGCAGACUGAUUCCUCAUUAUGCUUAUUAUAGCUGAACUGUGAUAGUCAACUGCCGUAGUAGGGAGCAGCAGCGGUUCUAAUGUUUUUUGUUUUUUAACUGGGCGUAAAUGAUAGCGUUGUGUGGCUCUCAAAAAGCGGAAACGCGGCUGGCGGAGAUGCGGAAAGGAGCGGACCGAUUCAGAACAAUUUGUGACUAUGUCGAUCCGACGGAUCAUCCGAAGAGAUUCCUAAUCUAGUAAAACGGAACCACAAGGACAAAAAGGAUAUGCCCGUGUGAAAAUCGUUGCCGAACAGAUUCAAUACUAUCGGUAUUGGUACAGUAAUAUAUCAAUACCUUCUGUACGCCAAGGCCUACAUGGUUGAUCGAAGCUUAGAGUCGCCUCUAGAGGCCCUUUGUGAUCUUUCACCUCGAACGGCUUUUUCGCU